UUGUAGUGUCAAAUGCUAGGGAUGGGAGGCUAUUGCUUCAGGUGACAGGGUAUAUGUUGAAGGAAAGCUCUCCAGGUGUAACCAGUUCACAAUGUAAAUAAAGCUUUUGGAUGCAUCCUUUAAUGCAUACGUCUUUCUGGCCAACUCACUUGACUCCAUUUAUUAUAGACUAGGCCUGUAAACAUAUGGAGGGGUACUUCAGAAUUUGGUGGGUCCAGCCAAUGUAAACUUUGAAACUCUCUGGGCUGGUCCCAUUGAAGGCUAAUGAGCUAUAACUUGAGCAGGAUGAAGGUUUGGCCCUCUGUGUUCAAGAGCAGGAGAGGAGCUGUCAUAGGCUGGUCUCAUCACUUCACCCCCUCUGCAGAGAUGGGGAAAUCAGUAACUUUGGGAAUCAGGCUGGUAUCUAUGCUCUCAGCAGUGGAAUAGAGAGCAGGGGAAGACAGGUAAGUAUAGCUUUGUUUGUAGUGAAAUAUUGUUUUAAUAGCGGGCAUGUGAGUAAGAGAUGUUUGGCUUGAAUUCCUCUGCAAACUGGUCUGCAGUAGUUCAAGCUUCCCCCCUCCCAGUCCUGCUACCAUCUUUCUACUGUAGGUACUUUUCUGGCCUCCCACUUACUACAGGAAACCUGUGGCAGAGCAGGGAAUUGAACCUGGGUCUCCCUGGUUGUGGGCUAAUACCCUAAUCACUGGCCUAUCCUUCCUCUCCUGUAGGCCAGCAGAUUAGUUCAGUCCCAUAGUCCAUUUUGAUGACGGUAGCUACGGAGCUAAUUAAUGCAAAUGCGGGAGGGGGGUUGCUUUGUGAUGCAGAGGAUAGUCAACUAGGCACUGCAUUGGCACCUGCCAAACUCCUAUCACACAGGCCACUGAGCAGUUAUCAGAGAGUGACAACUUUUCAGACACCUCCACUUGGCUGGAUUUGAAUCGCCACUGCAGAGGUAAUCAGCCUUGUCUGCUCUCCUGAGCCAUCCAGUCUCCGGAUUUCGGAGCUGUGCUGGGCUGUGAGUGCUGUUUGGUGUAGUAGAGGAGAGGUACUGAGGAGCUGUUUGGUUCUCGGUUUGAGUGACUCAGCCUCCAGGCCGGCCCACAAAACUCCCUCCUCUUGCUGGGCCUGCAGCCAUGGAAACGGCAAGAGUCCCUUUUAGAACACAGCUCUGAGAAGGGAGAGGGAGCACAAAGGCAGCCAGCCAGCAAGGGCUUGUGCUUAGCACAAGGGUCCCUGGGGUUUUCCUCUUCCAGCCUUUGCCCUGUGCUGAUCGCUGAUCGGCUUGUCUCUCUCUGAUCAGUGAGGUGGACGCAGCUCAAGAGGAUGAGCUCUAGCACAAUAGCUCUGGCCCCUGUGGCCAAGAACGUGAUGGUAUAUCGCAAUGGGGACUCCUUCUUCCACGGAAGGAAGUUUGUGGUGAACCAGCGCCAGUUCCUGACCUUUGAAGCGUUUCUGAAUGAGGUGACCAGCACAAUCCAUGCGUCUGUGGCUGUGAGGAAUAUCUACACCCCCAGGCAGGGCCACCGGGUCACUGAGCUGGAGGAGUUGCAGAAUGGAUGCCCGUAUGUGGCAGCUGGCUUUGAGCGGUUCAAAAGGCUAGACUAUUUAAACCCUGGAAUGAAGCAGCUCAGUGGGAGCAGGAAAAAAAAUGGCUUGCGGAUCCGCCCCAUGGUUCCCCAGAAGCUGAACUUGGCAGCACGAUGGCAGAAGCACGUCCACCUGCCCUGCAUUAUACAUGUUUUCCGGAAUGGGGAUUUGCUGAGCCCCCCUUUCCGACUGCUGCUCUCCAAGAGCAUCCUGCAGGAGUGGGACGCCAUCCUGGGCCUGCUGACGGAGAAAGCCAACCUGCACAGUGGAGCUGUUCGAAAACUCUGCCAACUGGAUGGAGUCCCGGUCUCCACUGGCGAGGAGUUGGUGAACGGUGAAUACUAUGUGGCGGUCGGGGUGGAGAAGUACAAAAAUCUGCCCUACUUUGAACUGCUGGUGCCUAAGAAUUCUGGGCACCAGGCAUUACGGAACCAUCCAAACAACAGACGCAGGAUCCACAAUCAGGGGUUUGGUAAAAGCUAUACCACCUCCCAGGAUGGAGCUAGCGACUCUGCCCUCAUUGAUCCACCUCAGCAGCCAGACUAUCGCAGGGUGCAGUCCACAGGAGCCGCAGAGAAAGACAAAACCCCCGUUCCUUCUCCAGCAGUGCGCAGACAAGCGAGGAAAUAUCCACACAAAGAGGAAGAGUCUGUUUUCCACGCCAAGCCUGUCCGUGCAGGGCAAAACAGGACAAAUAGCAGGAACGUGCAACACUGGCCUGACCAAGAAGAGGGAAGUGUCUAUAAAGUGAAAUACCCAAGAAAUGAGAUGCAAGGUGCCCGGGAAGUAAUGGAGAAUGAAUACACAAAGAUGGAGCUACCUGUUGAUCAGGGCUCUAAAUACAGGAUCUCAAGGCAGAGAAUCAGCUGUUUGUAGCUCAUAGCCUAUGAGACCGCUUCCCCACCUUCCAGAGCCUAUAUUCUUGUGGAUGAGGAUCAGAUGUGGAUCCACAUUUUUGUAUCAGCACAGGACUCUACAGAUGGCCUUUCUACAGAGCUGUAAGAGUCAUACAGUUCUCUAAGAGAAUGGAGACUUGGAGAUAAGGUUGAGAGCACUGACAGAUCGCGGAAGGCCUUGACAAUGCGAAAUUAGACCAGUGACUCAGAGGAGGAAGAGAACUGAAAGAGCCAUUUCUCUGACGGUGUGAAGCUCUGAAGAGUUUAUGAAGUGACUGUGAUGAAAUGGAGACCAAGUUAGCUUUACUCUCUGUGCAGUGGUAGAUAACAUAAGCACCUUGAUCAAAUCCAAGGACUUUGAAAAAUGCUUGUUUUAAACAAUACGAAUGCCUUCAUUAUCUGGGCUUUGUAUAGCAGGCUUCAAGUGAACAAUGAAUCAAAUAACUUCAUAAUAUAUUUUAAAAAAUAUAAAUUUAAUUUAAACCCUUUUUU